UCCUACGGGAGGCAGCAGUAGGGAAUAUUGGGCAAUGGACGAAAGUCUGACCCAGCCAUGCCGCGUGCAGGAUGACAGCCCUCUGGGUUGUAAACUGCUUUUAUAUAGGAAGAAACCCUUGGAUGCGUCCGAGGCUGACGGUACUAUUUGAAUAAGGAUCGGCUAACUUCGUGCCAGCAGCCGCGGUAAGACGAAGGAUCCAAGCGUUGUCCGGAUUUACUGGGUUUAAAGGGUGCGUAGGCGGACUUUUAAGUCAGUGGUGAAAUCCCGCAGCUUAACUGCGGAACUGCCAUUGAAACUGAAGGUCUUGAAUAUGGUUGAGGUAGAUGGAAUAUAACAUGUAGCGGUGAAAUGCUUAGAUAUGUUAUAGAACACCGAUUGCGAAGGCAGUCUGCUAAGCCAUCAUUGACGCUGAGGCACGAAAGCGUGGGGAGCAAACAGGAUUAGAUACCCUGGUAGUCCACGCCCUAAACGUUGAUUACUCGCUGUUGGCGAUAAACUGUCAGCGGCUAAGCGAAAGCGUUAAGUAAUCCACCUGGGGAGUACGUCCGCAAGGAUGAAACUCA
rnacentral:rRNA from 1 species